AGAUUGAACGCUGGCGGCAUGCCUUACACAUGCAAGUCGAACGGCAGCACGGGAGCAAUCCUGGUGGCGAGUGGCGAACGGGUGAGUAAUAUAUCGGAACGUGCCCGGUCGUGGGGGAUAACGUAGCGAAAGCUACGCUAAUACCGCAUACGAUCUACGGAUGAAAGCGGGGGAUCGCAAGACCUCGCGCGAUUGGAGCGGCCGAUAUCAGAUUAGGUAGUUGGUGAGGUAAAGGCUCACCAAGCCGACGAUCUGUAGCUGGUCUGAGAGGACGACCAGCCACACUGGGACUGAGACACGGCCCAGACUCCUACGGGAGGCAGCAGUGGGGAAUUUUGGACAAUGGGCGCAAGCCUGAUCCAGCAAUGCCGCGUGCAGGAUGAAGGCCUUCGGGUUGUAAACUGCUUUUGUACGGAACGAAACGGUGAGCUCUAAUACAGUUUGCUAAUGACGGUACCGUAAGAAUAAGCACCGGCUAACUACGUG
rnacentral:rRNA from 1 species